rnacentral:rRNA from 1 species
AUUGAACGCUGGCGGCAUGCUUUACACAUGCAAGUCGAGCGGCAGCGCGGGGGUCAACCCUGGCGGCGGAGCGGCGAACGGGUGAGUAAUCGCAUCGGGAACGUGUCCCGUGGUGGGGGAUAACCCGGCGAAAGCCGGGCUAAUACCGCAUAUGCUCUGAGGAGGAAAGUGGGGGACCCGCAAGGGCCUCACGCCAUGGGAGCGGCCGAUGUCCGAUUAGCUUGUUGGGGGGUAAG